rnacentral:rRNA from 1 species
AUGGAGGAGGUCGCGGAUGGUUACGUGAACGAGCUAGUGCAACGGAACUUGUUGCUUGUCAAGUUGAAAAAUGAGUUUGGGCGUGCAAAGCGGUUACACAUUCACGACCUGAUCAGGGAGAUUGCUGCAUAUAGAUCAAAAGAAGAUGGAUACUUUCAGUUAUCUACAAGUGCAAGGGUGGACUUAAAACAGAAAAUCCGUUAUCGUACACUUUACCAGUGCCAAAAUGACCAUCAGUCAACUCCAAAUAUGCCCUCACUUCGCUCCUUCUAUGUGCUUAGAUCAGACCUAGAUGUUGCACUAUUUUCUCAUUUUAGAUUGUUAACUGUGCUAAAUCUUUGGUAUGUUAAGGCAUGUAAACUGCCUAGUGCAGUGGCCAAUCUUCCAAAUCUGUGGUACCUUGGCAUACGCUCCACCUACAUUGAAGAACUACUGAGAGAACUGGGGAGACUACGUGAUUUGCAAACUUUAGAUGCCAAAUGGUCCAGUAUCAAGGUAUUACCAAGUAUCAUAACCAAACGGAAGAACCUCCAGCACCUGAUAUUAUUUACACGUGGAACCACAGAUUUUAUGGAACCGGAAACUGGUACAACAGUUUCUCUUCCAGAUGGGCUUGAAAAUCUCAAAUGCCUGCAGACUCUUAAAUAUGUUCAAGCUGAUCAGAAGGUGGUCAAAUCCUUAGAAAGCUUGGAACAGAUGAGGAGCUUAGAGCUAUCUGGAGUAGACCAGAGAAUUCUUAUCGAUUUUCCCUUAGCAAUAUCCAAAAUGAGCUGCCUUCUGCGCUUGGGAAUAAUCAAUUCCGAUGCUAAUGUAACAUUGGACUUGGAGUCAUUUUCUCCAGCACCAGUGAAGCUAAAAACCCUCAAUGUAACUGGAAAGUUGGCAAGGGAUAAGCUACCAUCGUGGUUUGGUUCUCUUACCAACCUCAUACAUUUGCAUUUGCAUUCAUCUAAACUUGGAGAAGAUUCAAUUGCGCUACUCUCAUCAGUUCCCAGUCUGUUGCAUCUUAGUAUCAUCAAUGCAUGCAACGAGAGAAGCUUGACCUUUCCGGCAGGUUGUUUUCUAGUCCUUAGACAACUAAACCUACAGGGAUUGCCUAACCUUACCAGCAUAGAAUUUCAAAAGGACAGCCUUGCAGAUUUACGUCUACUGACGCUUGGUCUAUGUCUUGAACUCACCGAGAUACCCCGAAGCAUCGAGAACCUCAUACAUCUGGAAAAUGUGGAGUUGUUUCAGAUGCCAAGUAAGUUCAUAGAGAAGAUACCAUAUGGGAAAGGUCAUGGGGUAAAUCAUCAAGAUGGUCAGCGUAUUAUAGUUGUAAAGAACUUCUGGCAUAAUGCACGAUUGUUGGAGCAAAAAAUUUAUAUCAACCUAUCAAAUGUUCAAGAGUCUUUCAAGACGGAUGCAGUCACAUAA